rnacentral:rRNA from 1 species
AUUGAACGCUGGCGGCAUGCCUUACACAUGCAAGUCGAACGGUAACAGGUCUUCGGAUGCUGACGAGUGGCGAACGGGUGAGUAAUGCAUCGGAACGUGCCCAGUAGUGGGGGAUAGCCCAGCGAAAGCCGGAUUAAUACCGCAUACGACCUGAGGGUGAAAGGGGGGGAUCGCAAGACCUCUCGCUAUUGGAGCGGUCGAUGUCAGAUUAGCUAGUUGGUGGGGUAAAGGCCUACCAAGGCAACGAUCUGUAGUUGGUCUGAGAGGACGACCAGCCACACUGGGACUGAGACACGGCCCAGACUCCUACGGGAGGCAGCAGUGGGGAAUUUUGGACAAUGGGCGCAAGCCUGAUCCAGCAAUGCCGCGUGCAGGAAGAAGGCCUUCGGGUUGUAAACUGCUUUUGUCAGGGAAGAAAUCUUCUGGGUUAAUACCUCGGGAGGAUGACGGUACCUGAAGAAUAAGCACCGGCUAACUACGUGCCAGCCGCCGCGGUAA